AGAAGGUGUGUGUGUUUCUUAUAGUGGUCAAAAUUUUGAAAGGCACCUUUUUAGAAUGUUUGCCGAUUUAUGAGAAGACCAAAUGGCGUUCAUAAAGCAUCAUUGAAAGCUCUUUCUACAUGAAACACAGAUGGUCUUCCUCUUUAGGAUUUUUGUAUCCUUUGUAAGUGAGAAGAGAGAAAGAAGUUGGACAUCCAUGGUUUGUAUGUCUGGCUGGUGUUUAGGGAUCGAUCACUUAUUUGUUGAUAAGUGAAAGUCUGAACAACCCAGUCCUGCCAGCUCCAGCUCCAGCUCCAGCUCCAGCUUCACACCAUCCCAGACCAGGCAACAAGGUCCUUUGAGGUCUAUAAUGAAAGAUCUGCAUUCUGAUGACAAUGAGGAGGAAUCAGAUGAAGUGGAGGAUAACGACAAUGACUCUGAAAUGGAGAGGCCUGUAAAUAGAGGAGGCAGCCGAAGUCGCAGAGUUAGCUUAAGUGAUGGCAGCGAUAGUGAAAGCAGUUCUGCUUCUUCACCCCUACAUCACGAACCUCCACCGCCCUUAUUAAAAACCAACAACAACCAG
rnacentral:sRNA from 1 species